AGGUAUUUCUUUAUUAGUUGAUUGUUAUAUUAAACAAAACGAAUUGGGUUAAUGAAGGUUAAAAUUGUUAUAAUAUUAAUUGUUUAUGUAAAUAUGUAAAUAAAGUUAUUUUGUUAGUAAGAUAUAUAUAAAAAAUUGUUUGUUUAUUUAGUAUUAGUAGUAUAGAAGUAUGUGUUGCGAUUUGGUACUGUAAAGGAGUAUAUAAAUAUAUAAUUUUGGUAUAGUAGAAAUUAAAUUUCGUACCUUUUGUAUAAUGGAUUGAUGAUUUUAUAUGCUUUAUUGUGUAUUCUCGAAGUGUAAGGAUUUACUUGAAGGGGAUAUGUUAACGUUGUAUAGUUAUAUAGUGAUCUUUAAGUGGUAAUGAUAUGUUUAUCGUUUUUCAUGAUAGCUAGUUUAUUAGUGUAAGAUAUUUAAGUAUUGUAAUAUUAUUAUAGUUUUGAGGGCUAAUUUUAAUAUUAGUUUAUUGUAUGGGGGAUAAGCUUCAUAUAUUAUUAUAGAAUAUAUUAAAUAAUUAUUUUGAAUUAUAAUUUAAGUAGAAUUAAUAAUGUUUUUCUUUAAAAGUAGUUUAAAUUGUGAUAUAGUUGUUUAAUUUCAUGUUUAUAAUUAAUAAAUGUUUAUAAAUUUAUAUGUAGAUAAAUAUAAUGUUAAUAUGAGUAUUGGUAAAACAUGUUUAAUAUAUUUAGAGUUAUUGUAAUUGUAAAUAGUUUAUAUUAAAAAGUAGUUAAAUAAGAUAAAGGAAUUCGGCAAAUAUUAAUCUCGCCUGUUUAUCAAAAACAUGUCUCUUUGUUAUAUAUAAAUAAAGAGUUGGGCCUGCUCGGUGAAUAAUUUUUUAACAGCUGCGGUAUUUUAACUGUACUAAGGUAGCAUAAUAAUUUGCCUUAUAAUUUGAGGCUAGAAUGAAUGGUUUGACGAAGGUUAAUCUGUCUCUAUCUUAUUUUUUAGAAUUUAAUUUUUAAAGUGAAAAAGCUUGAAUUUUUUAAAGGGACGAGAAGACCCUAAUGAGCUUAUAAUUUUAUUAUUAUUAUUUAAUAUAUUUAAAUAAUAAUAUAUAAAUUUUAAUUGGGGUGAUUAAGGAAUAAAAGAAUUAUAUAAUAACUUCCUUAGAUUAAAUAUAUAUAUAUAUAAAGUAACCAAUAAUAUAUUGCUUAUAAUAUAGUUACCAUAGGGAUAACAGCGUAAUUUGUUUAGAGAGUUCUUAUUGAAAAACAAGAUUGCGACCUCGAUGUUGGAUUAAAGUAACCUUAAGGUGCAGAAGCUUUAGUAAGGUAAAUCUGUUCGAUUUUUAAUACUUUACAUGAUCUGAGUUCAGACCGGCGUGAGCCAGGUUGGUUUCUAUCUUUUAAAAAUGGAUGUUGCUUCUUUUAGUACGAGAGGACCAAGGAAAGCUAAUAAUUUAUUAUUAUAAU
rnacentral:rRNA from 1 species